rnacentral:rRNA from 1 species
CCUACGGGAGGCAGCAGUGAGGAAUAUUGGGCAAUGGGCGAGAGCCUGAACCAGCCAAGUCGCGUGAGGGAGUACUGCCCUAUGGGUUGUAAACCUCUUUUGUCGGGGAGCAAAAGCCGGACGUGUCUGGCCGUGAGAUUACCCGAAGAAACAGCAUCCGCUAAUUCCGUGCCAGCCGCCGCGGUAAUGCGGGGGAUGCGAGCGUUAUCCGUAUUACGUGGGUUAAAGGGUUGGGAGGGCGGAUUUGUAAGGCAGCGGUCAAAGCGUGGGCCCCAACCCCAUCCAGCCGUUGAAACUGGGGAACUAGAGUGUGCGAGAGGUAUGCGGAAUGCGUGGUGUAGCGGUGAAAUGCAUAGAUAUCACGCAGAACACCGAUUGCGAAGGCAGCAUACCGGUGCAUAACUGACGCUGAGGCACGAAAGCGUGGGUAUCGAACAGGAUUAGAUACCCCGGUAGUC